GUGCUGACAGGAACUUGGACCUUAAAACAACAUGCGCUAAAAGGCUGAACACAGUUGAUCAGAUUUUUUCACUGAGCUUCGACGUCAGACUCUGCAUGAAGAGUAUGAUCACAGAAAUGAUAAAAAGUUAUCCUGAGAAUGUGGAUGUUUGGACCAACUUUAAUGAGAAUCUAUCGAACAGUUCUCCUAACAAAUACAGUUACAAAAAUAUCAGGUUUACAGGAAACUCUCAAGAGUGACAAAAAAAUGAAUUAUGAGAAACUGUGGUUUCCAUAAUUACCAGGGCUUUAGCUGAAGGCUAACACAAACUUUGGAGGUAAAUCUCUAAAAUACAGGUGGAUCUUUUUUCAUGACAUGUCUCUGUCAAACCAGAAGCAGUGAACCAGUUCAGUCUCUGAUCAAAAUCAAUAGCUGCGUUUACAAAUAAUUAAAAUAAAGGCCAGAUCGGAAUAAAAAUGCGUCAUGUAAAAAAGAUGCCAAUCGCUAGAUUCUGAUCCAAUUCAGCUCAAUCAAAAGACAUUGUACUCCAAUCAAGAGGGUUGGUUUAUACCGAUUGUUAUUCCGACAUGCAUCCAUGUAAACAUCUAUUCAGAUCCUGACUCUCUGUUGGGGCAAAACUAAACAGUCUGCACAUGUAUGCCCUACGUCAUCGUGAUGCAUCCCCGCCAUUAGUGACAAGACGUAAACAUGGUGGGAUCCAAGAGCAAUUAGUCCGUGUCUGACAAAACUUUCUUGCUGGAUAGCGUCUCCUCAUGUAACAAAUUAACAACACUUUUGCGGUUGUUUUAGCAAAAUUAGGCAACUCUGUGCAUGUCCAAAUACUUUUGAUCUAAAUAAAGCUUGGUGCAUGUAUGAUCAGAAUAUUUGAUUUUGUGCCAAUAUAAACAGUGGA